rnacentral:rRNA from 1 species
UGGGGAAUAUUGCACAAUGGAGGGAACUCUGAUGCAGCGACGCCGCGUGAACGAAGAAGGCUUUCGAGUCGUAAAGUUCUUUUAUAUGGGAAGAUAAUGACGGUACCAUAAGAAGAAGCCCCGGCUAACUACGUGCCAGCAGCCGCGGUAAUACGUAGGGGGCUAGCGUUGUCCGGAAUCACUGGGCGUAAAGGGUUCGCAGGCGGAAAUGCAAGUCAGGUGUAAAAGGCAGUAGCUUAACUACUGUAAGCAUUUGAAACUGCAUAUCUUGAGAAGGGUAGAGGUAAGUGGAAUUUUUAGUGUAGCGGUGAAAUGCGUAGAUAUUAAAAAGAAUACCGGUGGCGAAGGCGACUUACUGGGCUCAUUCUGACGCUGAGGAACGAAAGCGUGGGUAGCAAACAGG